CCUAUAUGGGGGUCUUUUACUACUUGCCUGAUUACACUUGGUUUUAUCCGGUACAGCACGUACCGGAUAAAACCAAGUGUAAUCAGGCAAGUAGUAAAAGCGAAG